GUCUUUUUGAAAAUAAUUUUAAGUCUAAUCUGCUCAAUGAAUAAUUUUUAAAUAGCCGCAGUAUUUUAACUGUGCAAAGGUAGCAUAAUAAUUUGUCUUUUAAUUUAGGACUAGAAUGAAUGAUUUAACGAAGUUUAAGCUGUCUUAAAUUUAUAAUAUUUGAAUUUAAUUUUUAAGUUAAAAAGCUUAAAUUUUUUUAUAGGACGAGAAGACCCUAUAGAGUUUUAUUAAAAUAUAAUAAUUUUUUUAAAUAAUAAUUUUUAUUAAAAUUUUAUUUUAAUUUUAUUGGGGUGAUAAUAAAAUUUUAAUAACUUUUAUAUUUCAAUAACAUAAAUUAAUGAAUUAUUGAUCCUUUUUUUAAGAUUAUUAGAUUAAAUUACCUUAGGGAUAACAGCGUAAUUUUUUUUAAAGUUCUUAUUAACAUUAAAGAUUGCGACCUCGAUGUUGGAUUAAAAUAAAAUUUAGGUGUAAAAGCUUAAAUAUUUAGGUCUGUUCGACCUUUAAAAUUUUACA
rnacentral:rRNA from 1 species